rnacentral:tRNA from 1 species
CGGGGGGUAGCUCAGUCUGGUAGAGCUCACGGCUGGGGGCCGUGCGGUCGCAGGUUCGAAUCCUGUCCCCCCGACCA